CUGUAACGACGCCGCAGGCUCUGAUCCUCGUCGUUGUUUCGCUGCUCGAAACGAAGCCGAAGUUUCAGGAUCUCCUCCUUUUCGCACACACUCAACGAAGGAUAAGGGAGCACCGGAGGACGCGGGGGAUGGAAGUGUGAAAAGAGAGCUUUUAUCCGUCGAGCUUAAUGUCGAAUCUGAUGCAGCAUCCUUGAGCUUGUUCGUUCAACGUCGGUCUACGCUUGGCAGUGACAACCGUCUAAAACAUGCGCGGCACCGAAUCAGCACGGGACGAAUAAAUCGUAUCACGUCUGAUCUCAUUGUCAUAUUUUCAUUUGAUGAAAAUCUGAGGAAAUAAUAUUACGAAACAAUCCCACAACCUCCAUUAUAUUCAAGUGCCUUACGAUUGGUUGAGUGAAUUGGAAAUGACUGAUAAACCGAACACUUGCGUAUCACCUGAACAAACAGGUCGGAGCAUAUUACCUAGUGUUAAUAAAUAUAUUUAUCCAACUGCAGUAGUUUACACGAAGCGAAUCAAGCUUGUACAAAUUUUCUCUACAUUCUUGAAUAUUUAUCAUAACGUUCACCUCGAUCCAUAUUCGCCGUACCGACUUGUUUAAUACGAGGGUGAGAAAAUAAUUCAGGGCUUUGUGCCAAACUUUAUUACACGAACAAUGGUUCUGAUAUAAAUUAUGCCAUUGCACGUUAUUACUCGCCACGAGAGGCGAUCUUUUAAUUAUUCUUUCUUGAAUCUGUUUCGUUAACGAAGUUUUUGGACACGUUGUGUCAUUGCAAGCGCCAAACAAGGCGGAUUCUCCGAGAUUUUUAGCCCGCGCGUUUUCUAAGGGUCACGAAUCGUGUCGACGGAACGCGAGAAUAAGAUAACUAUCAAAAUUGGCAAUCGGUAAAAUUGGUAAAAGAAUAUAAUAGAAUAAAAUAUAUUAUAACCUUAUCUUCGAUACAAAUUUCGCGCGACGGCUUUCCACGUGACCGCUGUCUUGUAGACAAGGAUUGCAAGCUUCGUACCCCGUGUCGAUAAAGUGAAGACACUACACUUGGUCCGGGGUUCACUUCCGACCGGAGAAAAAUUCUUACAAAUUCGUAUUGUUUGGUAAUAGUAGAAAAUAUUGGUUUUAACUACACUCGACGGGAAAUUUCUUUUCGUUGCAUUACGUAUUUUCCAUCUGCACAGAUACCAUCGUAUGUAAAUUUUUCCUACUAAAAACAGCGGAAAUGAAUCAAUUUCGGUCUUUUAAAAAUUCACAUUGCUGAAUUACCAUCAUGAUUGAAAAGAGAAUUGAUUACUUUGAUUAUUCGUCAAAGUGUUGAUGGAAGAAAAAAAAAACGUUGACAAGCAAAACGCGGAGGGCUUCGUUUUAUUUACCAAACAGCAUCUGUUCCGGAAAUUUCCUCGUACAUUUAGGCCUCUAUGAUUCACACACGUGUGGUUAAUUAAUUUAAUUCAGAAGUGAAUGGAAAGAAAGAAAUUAUUGUAUCAACUGACAGAGUCCCACUGAUAAGUGAUCAGAAACCUCUAACAUUUAUUCUCGAAAUCAUAACGCUCGCUAACAGAUUGCACAGGUAAGCACACUUUUUAUGCCCUUUGGUUUUUCAUGACGAUAUGAAAUGCGUGAAAUCCGAGAGAAACGUUAAUCGUGAUGCGUUAUCACGUUCACACCUAUAUAUCGAUACCUCGUAAGUUUUUAUCGUCGAAAUGUAUCGCGUUUAGUCACUGCCAUGGUGAAAAUGAUUUUGUAGGAUAUUAUACGAAUUUUUAGAGAGAUUCGAUCAUUUCGUAUAAUUUUGUACAAAAAAAUUGUUUUCGCACAAAAUUUAUAAAGAUGCAUAGUUUCUCAUAAAAACUAGUGGAUUUUUAUGAAAAUGUUGUUAUUUUCAUUAAGAAAUCUCAAAAACGCUACAAAUUUUAAUAAAAACCUUAAACUGUUUCAAUACGGAAUUUCCCGAUUUUUGUAUAAAGUUAUAGUAGUAGAAAUUUUCAGGUAAGCUUACCUAAUGUCUAAACCCGAAGUGCGAAAACGUUUGAAAAUCAGGAGGAGGAAGUAGUUGUGCGAAUAGAAAAAUUACACGUUUCAUGAUACGAACGGGGAGACGUUGUCAUAGUUGACGAUUACCGUGAUAAAAAACAAACGCGAAUCAAGGCAAUAAUUAAGCGUAGGUUAUCACAAGUAGGUACCUAACCUACUUAUCGUUGGUAAAAAUCGAGCCUGAGUUGAAAUAGAAGUGUCACCUCAGCCAAAUAAUCUUCCACGAUAAACGUGAUGUAAGACGUUCCGUGCGAAUGGAAAACAAGAUAAGCGUGUAAACUAACACGUACCCUUUAAUUUGUAACAAGAAGAAACGUGAUGCAUGUUUAUAAAUAAUUCCGAGUCUUGACUCACCGAUAUAUCUGACAAAGAUAGAUUAAGAAACCCAUAUUUGUAUCUUACACUAUGACAUUUUCAAAACCAUGGGGUGGUAAUCCUUCCAAAUAUAUGAAAAUCAUACGGAUGCAGAAACCAAAUUUUUUCAUAGUCUCUGGUUUCC